CAUAAUAUGCCCAUCAUUUGGCUAAUAAAUGAUAAUUAUUGUAACCGUGGUAAUAUUGAGGAAAUAGUACACGAAACAAAAAACGUUUUUACAGGAGACUUAUAUUAUAGUAGUGAAGUAUUUUUGUCUUGAAAUAUUUAUCAAUUUGGUGAAAAUUCAUGAUUUUCGAAUUAUUUUCAAUUGUCCGGAAACAUUUACUUUAAGCUUCACCGCAAUCGAUAAAAUAUGCGGUUUUCGAAGUCAUACGCGUUGGUACUUU